rnacentral:rRNA from 1 species
AGUGUACGCUGGCGGUAGGCCUAACACAUGCAAGUCGAACGGCAGCACAGUAAGAGCUUGCUCUUACGGGUGGCGAGUGGCGGACGGGUGAGGAAUGCAUCGGAAUCUACUUUUUCGUGGGGGAUAACGUAGGGAAACUUACGCUAAUACCGCAUACGACCUACGGGUGAAAGCAGGGGAUCUUCGGACCUUGCGCGAUUGAAUGAGCCGAUGUCGGAUUAGCUAGUUGGCGGGGUAAAGGCCCACCAAGGCGACGAUCCGUAGCUGGUCUGAGAGGAUGAUCAGCCACACUGGAACUGAGACACGGUCCAGACUCCUACGGGAGGCAGCAGUGGGGAAUAUUGGACAAUGGGCGCAAGCCUGAUCCAGCCAUACCGCGUGGGUGAAGAAGGCCUUCGGGUUGUAAAGCCCUUUUGUUGGGAAAGAAAAGCAGCAGGUUAAUACCCCGCUGUUCUGACGGUACCCAAAGAAUAAGCACCGGCUAACUUCGUG